rnacentral:rRNA from 1 species
UUGCUGGGUGGAUUAGUGGCGAACGGGUGAGUAACACGUGAGUAACCUGCCCCUGACUCUGGGAUAAGCGUUGGAAACGACGUCUAAUACUGGAUAUGAUCACUGGCCGCAUGGUCUGGUGGUGGAAAGAUUUUUUGGUUGGGGAUGGACUCGCGGCCUAUCAGCUUGUUGGUGAGGUAAUGGCUCACCAAGGCGACGACGGGUAGCCGGCCUGAGAGGGUGACCGGCCACACUGGGACUGAGACACGGCCCAGACUCCUACGGGAGGCAGCAGUGGGGAAUAUUGCACAAUGGGCGAAAGCCUGAUGCAGCAACGCCGCGUGAGGGAUGACGGCCUUCGGGUUGUAAACCUCUUUUAGUAGGGAAGAAGCGAAAGUGACGGUACCUGCAGAAAAAGCACCGGCUAACUACGUGCCAGCAGCCGCGGUAAUACGUAGGGUGCAAGCGUUGUCCGGAAUUAUUGGGCGUAAAGAGCUCGUAGGCGGUUUGUCGCGUCUGCUGUGAAAUCCCGAGGCUCAACCUCGGGCUUGCAGUGGGUACGGGCAGACUAGAGUGCGGUAGGGGAGAUUGGAAUUCCUGGUGUAGCGGUGGAAUGCGCAGAUAUCAGGAGGAACACCGAUGGCGAAGGCAGAUCUCUGGGCCGUAACUGACGCUGAGGAGCGAAAGCAUGGGGAGCGAACAGGAUUAGAUACCCUGGUAGUCCAUGCCGUAAACGUUGGGCGCUAGAUGUAGGGACCUUUCCACGGUUUCUGUGUCGUAGCUAACGCAUUAAGCGCCCCGCCUGGGGAGUACGGCCGCAAGGCUAAAACUCAAAGGAAUUGACGGGGGNCCCGCACAAGCGGCGGAGCAUGCGGAUUAAUUCGAUGCAACGCGAAGAACCUUACCAAGGNCUUGACAUACACCGGAAACGGCCAGAGAUGGUCGCCCCCUUGUGGUCGGUGUACAGGUGGUGCAUGGUUGUCGUCAGCUCGUGUCGUGAGAUGUUGGGUUAAGUCCCGCAACGAGCGCAACCCUCGUUCUAUGUUGCCAGCGGGUUAUGCCGGGGACUCAUAGGAGACUGCCGGGGUCAACUCGGAGGAAGGUGGGGAUGACGUCAAAUCAUCAUGCCCCUUAUGUCUUGGGCUUCACGCAUGCUACAAUGGCCGGUACAAAGGGCUGCGAUACCGUAAGGUGGAGCGAAUCCCAAAAAGCCGGUCUCAGUUCGGAUUGAGGUCUGCAACUCGACCUCAUGAAGUCGGAGUCGCUAGUAAUCGCAGAUCAGCAACGCUGCGGUGAAUACGUUCCCGGGCCUUGUACACACCGCCCGUCAAGUCAUGAAAGUCGGUAACACCCGAAGCCGG